rnacentral:rRNA from 1 species
CACGUAAGGGGCAAGCGUUGUUCGGAAUUAUUGGGCGUAAAGGGCAUGUAGGCGGUUUUGUAAGCCUGGCGUGAAAUCCCGUAGCUUAACUACGGAGCUGCGCUGGGAACUGCGAGACUUGAAUCACUGAGGGGGAGAUAGAAUUCCAGGUGUAGGGGUGAAAUCUGUAGAUAUCUGGAAGAAUACCGGUGGCGAAGGCGAUCUCCUGGCAGAUGAUUGACGCUGAGGUGCGAAAGCGUGGGGAGCAAACAGG